rnacentral:rRNA from 1 species
CACGUAGGGCGCAAGCGUUGUCCGGAAUUAUUGGGCGUAAAGAGCUCGUAGGUGGUCUGUUGCGUCCGCUGUGAAAACUCGGGGCUUAACCCCGAGCCUGCAGUGGAUACGGGCAGACUAGAGGUAGGUAGGGGAGAAUGGAGUUCCUGGUGUAGCGGUGAAAUGCGCAGAUAUCAGGAGGAACACCGGUGGCGAAGGCGGCUCACUGGACCAUAACUGACGCUGAGGCACGAAAGCUAGGGGAGCAAACAGG